UUGAGACGCCCGAUCGCCUCCUCGAGUGUCAUGAUGUUGAUGUCCCCGAACUGCUCAAUCGUGGAGACGAUAGUAAGAAACCUUUUCGGUACCGUCCGAAGUAGCUUUCUGACGACAUAGUUCUCCUGCAUCUCGCCGCCUAAAGCCCAGAUCUUGUUGACGACUCCUGUCAAUUUCGUCGAAAAUUCGUCGACGUUGUCAUUCUCCUUCAUCUGGAGAAGUUCGAACUCGGACUUCAAGGUCUACACCUUCGCGUUCCUCACACGGUCCGCUCCUAGAUGCAUUGUUUUCAACGUCUCCUAUGCCUCCUUUGCCGUCUGCUUCUCUGCAAUCAUAAUCAAAGUCUCUUCAGGAAUCCCCUGAUAGAUGGCCGCCAACGCCAUCUGAUCCUUCCUGACUUCCACGGUCACGUCUGUCGCGGGCUCAACAGCGUCCCACAUAUCUUGAGCCUUCAUGUAGACUUUCAUCUUGAUUGCCCACGAAACGUAGCUAUCUCUCGAUAGCGUCAGGUAUUGAAGAGUGAGCGAACCCACCUUGGUCGUCAUCUUCUCCGCACUCGUCAUAUCUUCAGAUCUUGGUUGAAACUUAGGCAUACACUGCGCUCUGAUACCACUUGAUGGCUUUGAAUUGGGAUCGGCCUAAGUACCUACCGAGAUUUGUCACGAAAAACGAGAGAGAGAGGGAGAGAGGGAGAGAGCCGAAUUUUUUUUGAGCAGGGAGUUUUUCUUCUUCAUGUAUAAAAGUUACAUGAUUGCUUACAUAUAUAUAAGAUCAUACCACUAACUUCUAACUUCUUCCACUAACAUUAUCCACUAACUUCUAACUUCUUCCACUAACAUUAUCCACUAACGUCUUCCACUAUCAUUAUCCACUAACUUCUAACUUCUUCCACUAACAUUAUCCACUAACUUCUAACUUCUUCCACUAACAUGACCUCCUACAAACUAGGGACACUCCCCUUAAUGUGUAGGACAGAUUAACCAUCACAUCCAUUAUUGUGACAAUUGCAAAAUUUCCUUGGAAGUGUGCCAUUUUUGGACAUUCAUAUGCAAGAUUAUAUUGUUCUUGACUUGGAGUUGUUUUUGAAACAAAAUUUGUAUUGUUUUGGUAAAGGCCAUAACCGUGAAGCGUCCAAUUUUCUAGGCAAAUAUUGGACAUAAUUUUUUACUCAACUGCUCAUGUGAAACGGCUGAGUGUGAAACGUGCAUUCUAUAAAUAUACCCCAAAGCUUUAGCAGUUUUUUGGUAUUGUGAGCCUACUUUAUUUACAAAUAGCAAAGCUUGUUAAACUUUCCUGCUCUCCGCACCUAGUACAGAUGUCAUGUUCUUCAUUUAGAAAAACAAUAAAUAGUAAGCAGUAAUAAAAUCAUUUUUUUUAAAAGUUUAAUUGAAAUUCCUUAGUAAUGAGACAACAUGAACCCCGUAACAACUAGUUAGAUAUCUUUUGAUUGAGAUAACAUACAGAUAUGCUUGUGCACCUUUCACACGUGAAUUCUGCUCUUGAUUUGUCUUUCACAGGUUAAUUAUUAGCUAAUCUUGCAUGUCUUACCUUCCAUCCGUCUAAUGUAGGCUUCUCUUGGAAAAUCAAAGGAUGAUGGAGACGUGCGUGUAUAUGUGGAAGUUGAUGGCGGCAAGUCACUUACUGGAAUUCUUUCUCGAGGGAAAUGCACUCACAUACUGCUGAAUUUGUCUUUACAUAAAAGUUUUUGUUUAUCUCACUCGAAGAACACUUGUCUACUUUUUUGGUGAUGAAUCUUAUCAGUUAGAAGAAUAUGCAUAUCCUUUAUCAUGUACUCGAUUUGCUUUCUGCAUCAAGAGUUUAUGAUUUUUUUUAAAUUUAAAUUGCCUUUUCUUGACUGUUUCUGUCUCUGUUCCACUUCCGCUGAUCCGAGAAUGAAUUUGCAUUUAAUCGAGUGAUAAAGAUGAUGGAUGUGGAGCCAAAAGUUUGGGAAGAUUACAUAAAGGGGAUGGAGGAUGCGAGAUUGAUGUUUUGAUGGGCUCAUUAAAGUUAAAAACCAAGGACUUCGACAUAUUUUCUCUCUCUCUCUCUCUCUCUCUCUCUCUCUCUCUCUCUCUCUCUCUGUUUAAGAUUCUCUA